rnacentral:rRNA from 1 species
AUACGGAGGAUGCGAGCGUUAUCCGGAUUUAUUGGGUUUAAAGGGUGCGUAGGCGGGGAGGAAAGUCAGUUGUGAAAGUUUGCGGCUCAACCGUAAAAUUGCAGUUGAAACUUCCUUUCUUGAGUACAGUAGAGGAUGGCGGAAUUCGUGGUGUAGCGGUGAAAUGCUUAGAUAUCACGACGAACCCCGAUUGCGAAGGCAGCUGUCUAGGCUGUAACUGACGCUGAUGCACGAAAGUGUGGGUAUCAAACAGGAUUAGAUACCCUGGUAGUCCACACAGUAAACGAUGAAUACUCGCUGUUUGCGAUACACAGUAAGCGGCCACGCGAAAGCAUUAAGUAUUCCACCUGGGGAGUACGCCGGCAACGGUGAA